CUCGACAAAGUCUAGCAGAGGAAUGAUACCUGGCUUUCACCCAGGAGGCUCGGGUUCGAUUCCCGGUAUGGGAA
rnacentral:tRNA from 1 species